rnacentral:rRNA from 1 species
GAUGAACGCUGGCGGCGUGCCUAAUACAUGCAAGUCGAGCGAAUGGAUUAAGAGCUUGCUCUUAUGAAGUUAGCGGCGGACGGGUGAGUAACACGUGGGUAACCUGCCCAUAAGACCGGGAUAACUCCGGGAAACCGGGGCUAAUACCGGAUAACAUUUUGAACCGCAUGGUUCGAAAUUGAAAGGCGGCUUCGGCUGUCACUUAUGGAUGGACCUGCGUCGCAUUAGCUAGUUGGUGAGGUAACGGCUCAACAAGGCAACGAUGCGUAGCCGACCUGAGAGGGUGAUCGGCCACACUGGGACUGAGACACGGCCCAGACUCCUACGGGAGGCAGCAGUAGGGAAUCUUCCGCAAUGGACGAAAGUCUGACGGAGCAGCGCAGCGUGAGUGAUGAAGGCUUUCGGGUCGUAAAACUCUGUUGUUAGGGAAGAACAAGUGCUAGUUGAAUAAGCUGGCACCUUGACGGAACCUAACCAGAAAGCCACGGCUAACUACGUGCCAGCCGCCGCGGUAA